GUGCCAGCCGCCGCGGUAAUACGGAGGGUGCAAGCGUUGUUCGGAAUUACUGGGCGUAAAGGGCGCGUAGGUGGUUGUGUAAGUCAGAUGUGAAAUCCCGAGGCUCAACUUCGGAACUGCAUCUGAUACUGCAUGACUCGAGUGCAGCAGAGGGAAACGGAAUUCCUGGUGUAGAGGUGAAAUUCGUAGAUAUCAGGAGGAACACCGGUGGCGAAGGCGGUUUCCUGGGCUGACACUGACACUGAGGCGCGAAAGCGUGGGUAGCAAACAGGAUUAGAUACCCUCGUAGUCC
rnacentral:rRNA from 1 species